rnacentral:rRNA from 1 species
GUAGUCAUAUGCUUGUCUCAAAGAUUAAGCCAUGCAUGUCUAAGUAUAAGCAAUAUAUACCGUGAAACUGCGAAUGGCUCAUUAAAUCAGUUAUCGUUUAUUUGAUAGUACCUUACUACUUGGAUAACCGUGGUAAUUCUAGAGCUAAUACAUGCUAAAAAACCCCGACUUCGGAAGGGGUGUAUUUAUUAGAUAAAAAACCAAUGCCCUUCGGGGCUCACUGGUGAUUCAUAAUAACUUAACGAAUCGCAUGGCCUUGUGCCGGCGAUGGUUCAUUCGAAUUUCUGCCCUAUCAACUUUCGAUGGUAUGGUCUUGGCUUACCAUGGUUUCAACGGGUAACGGGGAAUUAGGGUUCUAUUCCGGAGAGGGAGCCUGAGAAACGGCCACCACAUCCAAGGAAGGCAGCAGGCGCGCAAAUUACCCAAUCCUGAUACAGGGAGGUAGUGACAAUAAAUACUGAUACAGGGCUCUUUUGGGUCUUGUAAUUGGAAUGAGUACAAUUUAAAUCCCUUAACGAGGAACAAUUGGAGGGCAAGUCUGGUGCCAGCAGCC